CAAUAGCGUAUAUUAAAGUUGUUGCAGUUAAAAAGCUCGUAGUCGGAUUUUGGCUGAGAACGAUCGGUCCGCCGUUAGGUGUGCACUGAUUGGUCUCAGCUUCCUGGUGAGGAGGUGUGCUUCACGGCCACUUAGUCACCGUGGUUACUUUGAAAAAAUUAGAGUGUUCAAAGCGGGCUUACGCUUGAAUAUAUUAGCAUGGAAUAACACCAUAGGACUCCUGUCCUAUUUCGUUGGUCUCGGGACGGGAGUAAUGAUUAAGAGGAACAGUUGGGGGCAUUCGUAUCUCAUUGUCAGAGGUGAAAUUCUUGGAUUUAUGAAAGACGAACUUCUGCGAAAGCAUUUGCCAAGGAUGUUUUCAUUGAC
rnacentral:rRNA from 1 species